UAUCGGUAUGGGAUGGGGUCGCGUCCUAUCAGCUUGAUGGCGGGGUAACGGCCCACCAUGGCUUCGACGGGUAGCCGGCCUGAGAGGGCGACCGGCCACAUUGGGACUGAGAUACGGCCCAGACUCCUACGGGAGGCAGCAGUGGGGAAUAUUGCACAAUGGGCGCAAGCCUGAUGCAGCGACGCCGCGCGCGGGAUGACGGCCUUCGGGUUGUAAACCGCUUUUGACUGGGAGCAAGCCCUUCGGGGUGAGUGUACCUUUCGAAUAAGCACCGGCUAACUACGUGCCAGCAGCCGCGGUAAUACGUAGGGUGCAAGCGUUAUCCGGAAUUAUUGGGCGUAAAGGGCUCGUAGGCGGUUCGUCGCGUCCGGUGUGAAAGUCCAUCGCUUAACGGUGGAUCCGCGCCGGGUACGGGCGGG
rnacentral:rRNA from 1 species